AAAUCCCAUAAAGUUGUUCUCAGUUCGGAUUGUAGUCUGCAACUCGACUACAUGAAGCUGGAAUCGCUAGUAAUCGUAGAUCAGCAUGCUACGGUGAAUACGUUCCCGGGUCUUGUACACACCGCCCGUCACACCACGAGAGUUUGUAACACCCGAAGCCGGUGGAGUAACCUUUUAGGAGCUAGCCGUCGAAGGUGGGACAAAUGAUUGGGGUGAAGUCGUAACAAGGUAGCCGUAUCGGAAGGUGCGGCUGGAUCACCUC
rnacentral:rRNA from 1 species